UACGUAGGGUGCAAGCGUUAAUCGGAAUUACUGGGCGUAAAGCGUGCGCAGGCGGCUUUGCAAGACAGAUGUGAAAUCCCCGGGCUCAACCUGGGAACUGCAUUUGUGACUGCAAGGCUGGAGUGCGGCAGAGGGGGAUGGAAUUCCGCGUGUAGCAGUGAAAUGCGUAGAUAUGCGGAGGAACACCGAUGGCGAAGGCAAUCCCCUGGGCCUGCACUGACGCUCAUGCACGAAAGCGUGGGGAGCGAACAGG
rnacentral:rRNA from 1 species